rnacentral:rRNA from 1 species
AGUGAACGCUGGCGGUAGGCCUAACACAUGCAAGUCGAACGGCAGCACAGUAAGAGCUUGCUCUUACGGGUGGCGAGUGGCGGACGGGUGAGGAAUACAUCGGAAUCUACUUUUUCGUGGGGGAUAACGUAGGGAAACUUACGCUAAUACCGCAUACGACCUACGGGUGAAAGCAGGGGAUCUUCGGACCUUGCGCGAUUGAAUGAGCCGAUGUCGGAUUAGCUAGUUGGCGGGGUAAAGGCCCACCACGGCGACGAUCCGUAGCUGGUCUGAGAGGAUGAUCAGCCACACGGUAACUGAGACACGGUCCAGACUCCUACGGGAGGCAGCAGUGGGGAAUAUUGGACAAGGGGCGCAAGCCUGAUCCAGCCAUACCGCGUGGGUGAAGAAGGCCUUCGGGUUGGAAAGCCCUUUUGUUGGGAAAGAAAAGCAGCAGGUUAAUACCCCGCUGUUCUGACGGUACCCAAAGAAUAAGCACCGGCUAACUUCGUG